UACGUAGGGGGCAAACGUUGUCCGGAUUUACUGGGUGUAAAGGGUGCUCAGGCGGUUUAGUAAGUUAGAAGUGAAAUCCUAGGGCUUAACUCUGGAACUGCUUCUAAUACUGCUAAGCUUGAAUGUGGAGGAGGAUGAUGGAAUUUCCGGUGUAGCGGUGAAAUGCGUAGAUAUCGGAAGGAACAUCAGUGGCGAAAGCGACUUCCUGGACCAGUACCGACGUUCAGGCACGAAAGCGUGGGGAGCAAGCAGG
rnacentral:rRNA from 1 species